rnacentral:rRNA from 1 species
UACGAAGGGGGCUAGCGUUGCUCGGAAUCACUGGGCGUAAAGCGCACGUAGGCGGAUCUUUAAGUCAGGGGUGAAAUCCCGAGGCUCAACCUCGGAACUGCCUUUGAUACUGGGGAUCUCGAGUCCGGAAGAGGUUGGUGGAACUCCGAGUGUAGAGGUGAAAUUCGUAGAUAUUCGCAAGAACACCAGUGGCGAAGGCGGCCAACUGGUCCGGAACUGACGCUGAGGUGGCGAAAGCGUGGGGAGCAAACAGGG